AAUAUUGGACAAUGGGGGCAACCCUGAUCCAGCCAUGCCGCGUGUGUGAAGAAGGUCUUCGGAUUGUAAAGCACUCUAAGUUGGGAGGAAGGGCUUUAGGUUAAUACCCUGCAGUUUUGACGUUACCAACAGAAUAAGCACCGUCUAACUCUGUCCCUGCCGCCGCGGUGAUACAGAGGGUGCAAGCGUUAAUCGGAAUUACUGGGCGUAAAGCGCGCGUAGGUGGUUCAGUAAGAUGGGUGUGAAAUCCCCGGGCUUAACCUGGGAACUGCUUUCAUAACUGCUGAGCUAGGAUACGGUAGGGGGUAGUGGAAUUUCCUGUGUAGCGGUGAAAUGCGUAGGUAUAGGAAGGAACACCAGUGGCGAAGGCGACUACCUGGACUGAUACUGACACUGAGGUGCGAAAGCGUGGGGAGCAAAC
rnacentral:rRNA from 1 species